GACGAACGCUGGCGGCGGGCUUAACACAUGCAAGUCGAACGGAAAGGCCCUGCUUUUGUGGGGUGCUCGAGUGGCGAACGGGUGAGUAACACGCGAGUAACCUGCCCUUGACUUUGGGAUAACUUCAGGAAACUGGGGCUAAUACCGGAUAGGAGCUCCUGCUGCAUGGUGGGGGUUGGAAAGUUUCGGCGGCUGGGGAUGGACUCGCGGCUUAUCAGCUUGUUGGUGGGGUAGUGGCUUACCAAGGCGUUGACGGGUAGCCGGCCUGAGAGGGUGACCGGCCACAUUGGGCCUGCUCUACCGCCCAGACUCCUACGGGAGGCAGCGGUGGGGAAUAUUGCACAAUGGGCGGAAGCCUGAUGCAGCAACGCCGCGUGCGUGAUGUCGGCCUUCGGGUUGUAAACCGCUUUCGCCUGUGACGAAGCGUGAGUGACGGUAAUGGGUAAAGAAGCACCGGCUAACUACGUG
rnacentral:rRNA from 1 species